rnacentral:rRNA from 1 species
UGCAGAAUCCCGUGAACCAUCGAGUCUUUGAACGCAAGUUGCGCCCGAUGCCAUUAGGUUGAGGGCACGUCUGCCUGGGUGUCACAUAUCGAAGCCUCCUGCCAAUUUCCCUUUGAUUAUUGUGCAGGGUGGAUGUUGGCCUCCCGUGAACUCUUUUUGGUCAUGGUUGGUUGAAAAUUGAGACCUUGGUAGGGUGUGCCAUGAUAGAUGGUGGUUGUGUGAUCCACGAGACCAAUCAUGUGCUGCUCUAUUAAAUAUGGCCUCUUUUACCCAUAUGCGUUUCUAAACGCUCGUGAUGAGACCUCAGGUCAGGCGGGGCUACCCGCUGAAUUUAAGCAUAUCAAUAAGCGGAGGAAAAGAAACUAACAAGGAUUCCCUUAGUAACGGCGAGCGAACCGGGAUAAGCCCACCAUGAGAAUCGGUCGCCCUCGGCGUUCGA